AUUGAACGCUGGCGGCAGGCCUAACACAUGCAAGUCGAACGAGUGGCGGACGGGCGAGUAAUGUCUGGGAAUCUGCCUGAUGGAGGGGUAUAACCACUGGAAACGGUAGCUAAUACCGCAUACCCUCAGAUGUGCCCAGAUGGGAUUAGCUAGUUGGUGGGGUAACGGCUCACCAAGGCGACGAUCCCUAGCUGGUCUGAGAGGAUGACCAGCCACACUGGAACUGAGACACGGUCCAGACUCCUACGGGAGGCAGCAGUGGGGAAUAUUGCACAAUGGGCGCAAGCCUGAUGCAGCCAUGCCGCGUGUAUGAAGAAGGCCUUCGGGUUGUAAAGUACUUUCAGCGGGGAGGCGUUACCCGAAGAAGAAGCACCGGCUAACUCCGUGCCAGCCGCCGCGGUAAUAC
rnacentral:rRNA from 1 species